AUCGCUUCUCGGCCUUUUGGCUAAUAUCUGAUACUGAUCUGAUAGCUUAAUAUCUGAUCUGAUAGCUUAAUAUCUGAUACGGGUCCUAUUUGGACCCAAGAUAUUAAACUCAUUUUUGGAAUUGGGCGGAGUGCUUGAAGCUUGCUUCACCUCCGCCACGGGUUGGCCCGGUAUUGCACUGCCUCCGGGAUCGGCCCACUCACC
rnacentral:snRNA from 1 species